rnacentral:rRNA from 1 species
UGGGAAUUUUGGACAAUGGGCGCAAGCCUGAUCCAGCCAUGCCGCGUGCGGGAAGAAGGCCUUCGGGUUGUAAACCGCUUUUGUCAGGGAAGAAAUCUUCUGAGUUAAUACCUCGGGAGGAUGACGGUACCUGAAGAAUAAGCACCGGCUAACUACGUGCCAGCAGCCGCGGUAAUACGUAGGGUGCAAGCGUUAAUCGGAAUUACUGGGCGUAAAGCGUGCGCAGGCGGUUUUGUAAGACAGAGGUGAAAUCCCCGGGCUCAACCUGGGAACUGCCUUUGUGACUGCAAGGCUUGAGUGCGGCAGAGGGGGAUGGAAUUCCGCGUGUAGCAGUGAAAUGCGUAGAUAUGCGGAGGAACACCGAUGGCGAAGGCAAUCCCCUGGGCCUGCACUGACGCUCAUGCACGAAAGCGUGGGGAGCAAACAGGAUUAGAUACCCUGGUAGUCCACGCCCUAAACGAUGUCAACUGGUUGUUGGGAAGGUUCCUUCUCAGUAACGUAGCUAACGCGUGAAGUUGACCGCCUGGGGAGUACGGCCGCAAGGUUGAAACUC